CGGGCAGUAGCUCAGUGGUAGAGCUCCCGCUUCGUGCGCGGGAAGGCCUAGAUUAGAUUCCUGGCUGCCUCC
rnacentral:tRNA from 1 species